rnacentral:lncRNA from 1 species
CUUAUAUUAGCGUCACUUCUUGCUUCCGGAAUUAAGUUAUAUGAGAUCUUGCAAUUCACAGAGACCCUACUUGCACCACAAACUAUGGUGUGAGCAUGGCUGGUCAUUGUACAUUUACAGUCCAUUUAAUAUCAUAUAACUGCCCGAUACCCAUAUUUAAGAUUAGUACAAGCAAGAUAAAAUGGAAUCCAAGAGGUAGUUUUGAUCAUAAAUCCGAAACAUCCAGAUUAGCACGAAUGUCUUAUCCAUAUCAUGGGGCGUUUUCUUAUUUCGUCCACUUAUCUCAAAGACUUCCUAUAAUUAUGAAUAAUUUCUGUGUGAGUGACCUGUUAAUAUAUCUGGUACAAAAAUGGUUAAGUAUAUAGCCUCCCUGGCAUCACUCCUAAAUUGUGUUAAGCGUCUACUAGACAAUCCUAAAAUAACCCCUUUGUCUGCUGUAAAACUCUUGUCAGAAACAUACCAGGCAGACUGGUCCAUUUUUACUUACUUCGCAAACUCCCCUUUAAUGUUGGCUCACAGUGAAUCAGACAGUAAUUACACCUUUUGCUCACAUGUCUGGAUGCUACAAACGUGUGCUUUUAUCAUUUUGCAAUCUGUUUGUGGGCUAAAUUGGCAUCUUUCUGUUAAGAAGACUUUUUUUUAGUAUAGAUGUAGGGCUGACCUUGCCACGUUUACCUCAACGUUGAUCAAAAAAUAAAAAACUGUUUAACCUAUACAUUUAUCAGCAAUUUAGAAUAUUUCAUAACAAAAUAGCUCAAUUGGAAAACUCCCUUGUCGGUUCUCCAAGAUUCCCAGUUUAGUGAAUAAAUUGAAAAGUAUAGAUGACAAAUUUUCUACAAAUGUUUUAAAAUGCAAUGUUGGCACAUCAGGAGCAUUUAAAUUAUUGCCUCAAGGGGGUGGUGGUUGAGUGGUAAAGGAGGUGAUUGUGAAAUUAAUCUAGAUACAUGUAUUUUUUUUCCAGAAGAAAGGUUUUGUUUGGAUCAGGAAGACAGCUAUUACAAUUUAAAUUAAAUGACUUUUGGAAAAAGAGGGUAGCUCAUGUUUAGCGUGAUGCCAGAUCACAUACCAGUUCACUGAAAACUGUCAGGAUUUCAAAGUGAAUUUUACAUUUCGAACCACAAUAGCUGUAAUUAAAAAAAAAACAUAGACCAUUUCCAAGUAAGCAACGUUUUCAAUUUGGUUAUUUUGGGCCUAAAAAAAUUCACUUUGAAUUCCUGACAAUUCUUAUUUUAAUAAACAACCCUCUUUAAAAAAAAUCACGCAUUUUCAAAGAUUUCAUAAACAUUAAACCUGUUUUUAUAAAACAAAAAUGCGUACCCAGUUUAUUCUCCCAAAUCCCACGUGUGUCUUAAUCAUCAUAAUUCUAACUAUAUAUUUUUGUGCCACUGUAAAUAUUCUAUGACCAGAAGACGAACCCAGGUAUUGUGAACAGCCAUCAGCCACUCGUAAAUUUGGCAAGUGGUUCCGAAGGCGUUAAUUGAACAGCCCUCUAUCAUUUCGUGUUUGAGUUUAAAAAAAUGGUUAACGUAGACUUAAGUUGUUUUGAGUCUUUUUCUUUGCUGCUGUCCUGAUUUGGGAGCUGUGGAGCAAAUUAUCGAUCUGCCUCCCUUAACAGAUUUAUAGCUGAUUGGGUGCAGGCAUACACAGUCUGUCUUUUUAUCAUUGUGGCUGGAAAUAAUAUAAUAAGGUCAGCUAAGAAUACAGGGAGGCCUUAGAAAAGUGAACAUCCCUUGAUCCGCUGUCUAUGCAUUCCGAGGAUCGAUACUUUGUGUCAGCGACUGGAUAAUACCGAAAGACAUAUUGAAUGAACCAACAGAUAAGAGACCAUUUCUUUGGCAACUUUGCCCUUUAAUGAUUUCAGUUAAAUGUCUAACACUGCAGGGGGAGAUUUAUAAACAAAAUGUAAAUACAUUUAUAAAAAGCGCUGGGGCAAAAGUAACACAACCACAGUGUAAUAAUUAUCUCCAAUUAACAUAACUCUAUAGCUGUUAAUGUCCGUUUCCUUGUUAAUUCCUAUAAAAUGACCGAUAGAUUUUUUUAAGUAUUUAUUUUAUAUGAUGAUUUGAGCAAAAUAUUUUUGCAGGCGCAUAUUUACAUGUGU